rnacentral:rRNA from 1 species
UACAGAGGGUGCAAGCGUUAAUCGGAAUUACUGGCGUAAAGCGCGCGUAGGUGGUUGUUAAGUUGGAUGUGAAAGCCCCGGGCUCAACCUGGGAACUGCAUCCAAAACUGGCGAGCUAGAGUAUGGUAGAGGGUGGUGGAAUUUCCUGUGUAGCGGUGAAAUGCGUAGAUAUAGGAAGGAACACCAGUGGCGAAGGCGACCACCUGGACUGAUACUGACACUGAGGUGCGAAAGCGUGGGGAGCAAACAGGAUAGAUACCCGGUAG